rnacentral:rRNA from 1 species
GACGAACGCUGGCGGCGUGCUUAACACAUGCAAGUCGAGCGGAAAACUUCGGUUUUCAGCGGCGGACGGGUGAGUAACACGUGGGCAACCUGCCUCACAAUGAGGGAUAGCCUUCCGAAAGGAAGAUUAAUACCUCAUAACACAAGAGAAACGCAUGUUUCUCUUGCCAAAGAAUUUCGGUGUGAGAUGGGCCCGCGGCGCAUUAGCUUGUUGGUGAGGUAACGGCUCACCAAGGCUUCGAUGCGUAGCCGACCUGAGAGGGUGAUCGGCCACAUUGGAACUGAGACACGGUCCAGACUCCUACGGGAGGCAGCAGUGGGGAAUAUUGCACAAUGGAGGAAACUCUGAUGCAGCAACGCCGCGUGAGUGAUGAAGGUCUUCGGAUUGUAAAACUCUGUCUUCUGGGACGAUAAUGACGGUACCAGAGGAGGAAGCCACGGCUAACUACGUGCCAGCAGCCGCGGUAA